rnacentral:rRNA from 1 species
UACAGAGGGGGCAAGCGUUAUUCGGAAUUAUUGGGCGUAAAGGGCGCGUAGGCGGCCUGGCAAGUGGAAGGUGAAAUCCCUCGGCUUAACCGAGGAACUGCCUCCCAAACUGCUUGGCUUGAGACCGGGAGAGGUGAGUGGAAUUCCCAGUGUAGCGGUGAAAUGCGUAGAUAUUGGGAGGAACACCAGUGGCGAAGGCGGCUACCUGGACCGGUUCUGACGCUGAUGCGCGAAAGCGUGGGUAGCAAACAGG